CGGAGAAAGCAGCACAGUUUAUCCACCUACACCACCUUCCUGCUUCUCAGAAGCUCCAGUUCUGCAUCUCAAGGCUGCAGUGCUUCAAGAUUGGACAGUAAUUAUUUCAAAACGUGCAGCUUCACCUAUGUCAAAGACAUCACAGAACAAAACAAGUCAUCAGAUCAUUACAGAUCAACUAGAGCAGGACUUCUGGACUGCAUCACUCUGACAUUUCCUAAUGCUGGAGAAGUGACAAGCAGAGGAUUAAGAUUUUUUUCCAAUUGGAAAAUUCUCUAUUACUACAGGCCCAUUGGCAGUGAAAGGAACAGAACCUACUUCUUGAAUGACUUCUUCUGGUGGAUCAUCUAUUUUAUCUCAGGCAUGAGAAAAAGCAAGAGCCACAGGCAGCAAAGAACGGAAAACUGGCAAGAUCUGUUAUACAGUGCAGCCUGUAGCAGCAGUGCUUGUUCUGGUUUUGGUUUGGGGGAUGGAGAUUGCAGUUUGCAGUAUGCAGACAUUGAUCAGCCUGCGUUUGGUAGUCGUAUUGAAGAUAAAAGUGGAUUCAUGCUCAGAGGCCAUUGCAGCUGCAAAAUCAAUACUUGUGCAUAUUGGUUACUCUUCUGCUUAAGGUAG
rnacentral:lncRNA from 1 species